rnacentral:rRNA from 1 species
CUACACAUGCAAGUCGAACGGUAACAUUUCUAGCUUGCUAGAAGAUGACAAGUGGCGGACGGGUGAGUAGUGCUUGGGAACUUGCCUUUGCGAGGGGGAUAACAGUUGGAAACGACUGCUAAUACCGCAUAAUGUCUUCGGACCAAACGGGGCUUCGGCUCCGGCGCAAAGAGAGGCCCAAGUGAGAUUAGCUAGUUGGUAAGGUAACGGCUUACCAAGGCGACGAUCUCUAGCUGUUCUGAGAGGAAGAUCAGCCACACUGGGACUGAGACACGGCCCAGACUCCUACGGGAGGCAGCAGUGGGGAAUAUUGCACAAUGGGGGAAACCCUGAUGCAGCCAUGCCGCGUGUGUGAAGAAGGCCUUCGGGUUGUAAAGCACUUUCAGUUGUGAGGAAAAGUUAGUAGUUAAUACCUGCUAGCCGUGACGUUAACAACAGAAGAAGCACCGGCUAACUCCGUGCCAGCAGCCGCGGUAAUACGGAGGGUGCGAGCGUUAAUCGGAAUUACUGGGCGUAUAGCGCACGCAGGCGGUUUGUUAAGCUAGAUGUGAAAGCCCCGGGCU